AGCUUUGCGCAGUGGUGGUAUCGUAGCCAAUGAGGUUUAUCCGAGGCGCGAUUAUUGCUAACUGUAGCCCGCCUUCUCC
rnacentral:snRNA from 1 species